UUUUAAAUCUUUUUUAUCUACCCACCCUCUUUUCAUUAUUCCAACCUUACCCUUACUCUAUAAACCACGUACAAUUUCUUUCUCACUCUUAUCAAUAUCCCACCUACCGCAUUUCAUAUCCAAUUUCCCUCUUUCUUUCUUUCUUCUCAUAGUGCUUUCUGAUGUUGGAUUCGAAGGACGAUCUUGAAGCUGUGGAAGGAGGUUUUAUGCUUAAUUUCAGGCGUCCAAAUGGUGGACCAUAACACAUACGACAUUGAUUCUGAAGCAGUGGAGAGAGAGAGAGAAAGAGAGUUGCAGGGAACUUUUGUGUGAUUAGUUUGCUGAUUUCUUUCUUCGACCAUAGACUUGGAAUCGAAUUAUGAAAUCACUCGGACCGCUGAGUUCAUUAGCAGUGACGGCUUCACCAGAGUCGCUUUACAGAUGAGCUCCUAAAUGAGUCGGUGAUAGUUGGGAGUGUUUUACUGGACAAGCUUUGGUGUCUACCAGAAUCUCAAUCCGAUAGCGACUGGAAUGGCAACGUAAAAGAUGUAUCUUUGUUUAUGAUGGCUGACACAGCGUACAGUAGCUGUUGCGUGGAUGAGGUCGGAGCAUCGCACAUCAAUGCUGAUUAUGUCGUGCACCACGGCCACGCGUGCUUCAGCCCGACUACAACUCUUCCAGCAUUCUUUGUUUUUGGAAAAGCUUCAACUGGUGUGUCCAAUUGUGUAAAAAAUUUAUCAGAUCAUGCUGUGAGAAACGGCAAACCUUUCCUGGUUCCCUUUGGGCUAGAAUAUGCACAUUUGAUACAGCAUAUAAGAGAUGAAGUGGUAGAAGCAUGUAUGAAUAGCUCUAGAUUAGAAAUCCAAUUUGCUGAAACUAUGUCUUCGGACAUGAAUCCAUCAGAAUCUUGUAAGAUCUCCAAUGGGAGCUUGGAAGCAGCUAGUGUCUUCUCUGAUGAUAAAUGUAUCAGGACAGUGGUUGGUAAUAGAUAUACCAUUGGAGGCUUGGUCUGGGAAUUACAUGAGGAAUACAAAAUGGAGGACUACUUGUUUUUUUGGAUUGGUUGUGGAAAUGCUGCAUUUGCAAGUGUUGUACUGACGUUAAAUGGUUGUGAAAUAGAUAUGAUGCAAAGUCAAAUUGCAUGGUGACAGACUUAUCUCAACAAAGAAGAAUUCUUAAGCAUAGAUGUUACCUGGUCAAGAGAAGGCAAAGGAUGUAAACAUUGUUGGUUUUCUGGUUGGAACUCUUGGUGUAGGAGCGCUCAAAUAAUGGCAGAGGCUUACGUGUUAUGCCAAUGAACUUAUAUGAGUUUUAAGUUGUUGGGCAUGGCAUGUUCGUUGGAGUUGUUAACUUAGAAAAUAAGACGUGCUCAUGCAAGGAAUUUGACAUUGAUGGAUUUCCUUGUGUCCAUGCAAUUGCAGCAUGUAAGAAUCGACAUAUUUCUCCAUAUUUCCUUUGCUCGGCGCAUUACUCAGUUGACUCACUUUGUGAUGCAUAUUCGGAAACCAUAUAUCCACUUGGAAAUAAAUGUCAGUGGCAUGCUCCAGAUGAUGUCAUAAACCAGGUUGUACUUCCACCUCAAAUUGGCAAACAGUCAGGAAGACCGAGAAAGAAGAGGAUUCAAUCUCAAGGAGAGGAGCGUCAUCAAUGUAGAUGUGGGAGGUGCAAACAGGUUGAUCACAGGAGCCGAUCAUGCUCCGCCGCCGUACCUCUUGAUAGCACUACCAACCAACAGCACCACUGAAACGAAGGCCCAUCAAUUGCGUGAUGCUAUAUUCAGACAAUGGGGCCAUGUUACGGUAUGCGUAUGUAUGCAAUGUAGUCAGGAAUGCAAUUAGUUGCUCAACCACGUAACAUGUGUUUUGGCAUAAUAGACGUUGGCUUUAUGUGUUCUUUUGUUGUCAAAUUCAUCUGUCGUAUUGUUUUGAUAACAUAUCAUUCCGUGUUCAGUUUUUGGUUCAGUUGUUUGUAUGUUUCUUACUAUUGCAUGGAUGAUAUUACUGCCCAAUGGUAAUGACCGAUGCAUCAUCGGUAAUUGACAUUUGUA